CAUCUGUCAAGCGUAGUGAGGAAGACGCGAGGGGAAAAUUUAAAAAAAUUAAAUUAAUUACUAGAAAUAUUGCCAUUUUGGAAGUUUGUUCUUGUAGCUUCAUUGACGUACCCGGUCAUUGUUCCGGUUCUUUUUCUUAGAAUCAUUCUCUGGAGAGACGAAAGCUGAGUUGAAAAAUGGCGCCACAACUUCGAGGGAUGGUCGAGCGCUCAAUGCGUCGAGACAUUUUGCAAGCUGUUGCCGUUGCUUUCGCUAUUGGAUGUGGGUACAAAUAUUUUGUUGCUUGGCCAAGAAGAAAGAAGUAUGAGGAAUAUUAUCGYAACCUUGAUCCCGAGAAAGAAGCCAAGAUGAUUGAAACGAAUUUGAAAGCAUGGGAAGAGGAAAGACARUAGAUUUGAUAUAAGGCAAUGUUUUGUGAUUAUGAUUUAAGACAUUUAAAGUUGAUAAAACUGUCAAUUGCASUAUUUCAAAGAAUAGUAAACAAUAGAAACUGCAGAUCAUGUCCGCAGCAGCCUUUGUUCGGUGGAUGGUGUGUAGGUGAAACCGGCGGCGAUUCUCCGCCUUAAAUACUAAUGAUGACAAUACUCAUCAUACAAACUAAAAGAUAACACAUACAAAAUUAUUGAACGUCAACUUAAGUAAAACUUGUUAAAAUAAAAAAGAUUUCUGAUUCAGCAAGUUAACAGYGCCAGUCAAUUUGUUCCGCCUUGAGGCAUCCUGUUAUAAUUGUUUCCAUAGGUACGGUGUCAACGUUUUGCAACUUUUCCAGUGCAAUGUUUCAUUCAUUGCAAAACAUUUUGCUAUAGUAUCUGAAAGAAGCCGUACUUAUGGCUCUCAUUCUGACCGUUCCUUGAAUUGUACUGGUAUUGUAGAUGCUUUACUUCUAUUGGUCGCUUUCUGACAGUUCUAAAUUUGGUUCAACAGUGUCAUGCUAAAAGGCACGUUUCAACCCCAGACGUCUUUCCAAACACAGUAUCUACUGUUCAUUAGAAAUUAAGCAAGUGGUUCUGUCAGAAGGAAUAACUAGCUCUCUACCAACAAGAUUAAGGACUCAGGAYUCGCUUUUUGUGGAGGAGUGCUGAAYCAAAAUAGACUGCCCAGUAAAAUGGCGCCACAAUUACGCGGACUGGUUCAACGUAGUAUGAUGAAGGAUAUCGCACAAGCCGUCGGAUUUGCUUUUGUUGUUGGUUUGGGAUGGAGAUAUUUUUACGCCGAGCCAAAGAGAAAGAAAUACGAGGAUUAUUACAAGAACUUUGACGCUGAAAAAGAAGCUAAAAUCAUGGAGGCGGAACAAUUGGCAAGGGAACAAUAGGUCAUGUUGUUAUUGGUGUCAAAUGAACCUGUGUUGAGCAAGAUACAUAAUCAUCAUGUCUGCAUUUCUUGUGAACUAGACUCUUAUUGAAAUUAUUGUUGAUAAAAAAUUGUUCCAAAUAUA